GCCGGUAUAGCUCAGAUGGUAGAGCAGCUAAUUCGUAAUUAGAAGGUCGGGGGUUCGAUUCCUCUUACCGGCA
rnacentral:tRNA from 1 species